rnacentral:rRNA from 2 species
UUGACCUCGGAUCAGGUAGGGAUACCCGCUGAACUUAAGCAUAUCAAUAAGCGGAGGAAAAGAAACCAACCGGGAUUGCCCCAGUAACGGCGAGUGAAGCGGCAAGAGCUCAAAUUUGAAAUCUGGCCCCCCCGGGGUCCGAGUUGUAAUUUGCAGAGGAUGCUUUGGGUGCGGCCCCUGUCUAAGUGCCCUGGAACGGGCCGUCAGAGAGGGUGAGAAUCCCGUCUUGGGCAGGGUGCCCGUGCCCGUGUAAAGCUCCUUCGACGAGUCGAGUUGUUUGGGAAUGCAGCUCUAAAUGGGUGGUAAAUUUCAUCUAAAGCUAAAUACCGGCCGGAGACCGAUAGCGCACAAGUAGAGUGAUCGAAAGAUGAAAAGCACUUUGAAAAGAGAGUUAAAUAGCACGUGAAAUUGUUAAAAGGGAAGCGCUUGCGACCAGACUCGCCCCCGGGGUUCAACCAGCAUUCGUGCUGGUGUACUUCCCCGGGGGCGGGCCAGCGUCGGUUUGGGCGGCCGGUCAAAGGCCCCAGGAAUGUGUCGCCCUCCGGGGCGUCUUAUAGCCUGGGGUGCAAUGCGGCCAGCCCGGACCGAGGAACGCGCUUCGGCACGGACGCUGGCGUAAUGGUCACAAACGACC